ensembl:lncRNA
GUCAAGAAUGUUGAUUUUACGUAAACCACAACUUCUGUAACCCUGUUUUGACAUUUUUUUAAGCUAGGGGAGGAGCCUCAAAAAAAAGGAAGUGGGCAGUUCCCGUUGUGGCUCAUUUAUAGAUGUAAAACUCUAGCCCUGGCACACAGUGACACAGGAGGGCUCCACAUUGGUGCCAGGCAACAGCACACUUGUUUUCUCUUUACACUUUUCUGUACUUUACUAAAUUACCCCAAAUGAGGAUGCAUUCCUUUUGCAACAAGCAGCAAAAGUACUGCUUUAUUUGGAAGGUCAGAAUGACACCCCUUCUGAGAUCAUCUUUUUCCCAGGUCCUGGCACCCCAGUGAGAAGGCCUCUUGAGUCACACCCCCGGCAGUGAGCCAGGACACUCGUGUCAGGGCCCCUGGGUGUCCCCCAGGAAGCCUGGUGGAGGAAAGAAGCCAGGGAGGCAGGAGAGAACAGGGAGGCAGGGCAAGCGGACACCUGCUUGGAAGCCUGGUCCAGCCACGGAACCCCAGAAGAUAUGGGGAGGCUCAGUAGGUUCCUGACAAUGACCCCAUCCAAGGUCCAGCCAGCCCCACUUCAAGGCCACCCCGCUUCCUCCCUCAUCCUCCUCCAUUCCUGCCUGUGGUGUCCAGAGGGUGCCCAGAGACUGGUCACUGGCACAUGUCUACAUGAUGCAGCCAUGGGGACCACAACUCAGUCACCACUCGGCUUCAAGAUGGUCAUCAGUCAAGAAGCCACACAACCUGCUCCGCGUGACAGGGGAGGACGUCCUUUCCCUUCUGCAUGGACAUCCUCAGGGCCGCACAAAGGCGAGAGGCAGUGCCGGAUGAGCAGCACUCCUCAAACACCAGUGCAAGCAGGGUGCCUGGGUCCUGCCUUGGGAUGCCCCCAGGCAGCAGCUGUCCACAGGUUUAGCGGCUUCACCCCAAGAAGCUCUGGCAUGGUGUGCAAGGGGGACCUGAGGCCCAGAGAGGACUGCACUUGCCAGGACCACAUAGAAAGGGGGCAAGAGCAGGUGAGGGCGGCUGGGUCUGUCUACACCCCAUGCCUCGUACACAUCUGCAGCUCCCAGCCCGCCAGGGGCCUGCUGCUCAGGAGGGGUGGCAAAUGCUCUGCUCAGGAGGAGGAGUGUAGGAAGAACCUGACCCCGAUGUGACCAAGUCCUCAGAGGACAAGAGGACACAGCCAGACCUGGCCCAGCUGAAAGAGCUGGGCCCACCCAGGGAAAGGGCUGCCUGUGUGCCUGAGAUGACAAGGUUCCUGCCAGGGCCAAGGGGUGGUAGGGGACACUGUGCCACAGAGGAGGGUCUCACAUCCAGCCCUGGAGGGUGGUCAGCCUAGGGACCCAGUACUUCAGGACCCCCAAGGGUCACCCAAACCAUAAGGCUUCCACCUGGCCCUCGUGGGGACCCAGCCACAGAGGGAUGACAGAGCAUUGGUGGAGGCAGGUCUGUCUGCUGAACCCAGAUGCAGACUCAUGGGAAAAACAUAUGCGGUUGUUGUCCGGAGCCACUAAGUUUGGGAGUGACUAUUACACAGUCACAAUGUCAUAAAGGGAGGAACUGGGUGAUCAGAAGAGAUGGAAAUGGGCUCUAAACUGUUAAGGACAACUGUCCUCCCAGUCCUUGCUGGUGGGGCAGGCAGGUGAGCUCAAGGGGGGUUGCCAGGCAGACAGCAGAGGGCUGCAAGGACCGCUGUAAUGACCCUUACCAUCAUCCCCACCAAUACCAUCACAACCCACAUCAGCACCGUCACAGUCAUCAUCAUCAUCAUUUUCUCCUGCUCAGCUGAUGAAUCCCGACACAUGCUCUCAUUUCUGUCAACAAGUAGCUAAGAAAGAGCAAAACUCCAGAGGACAAUACAAAAUCUGCAUGGAAAGAACAUCAACAUCCAUUCCUCUCCCUGGGCGUCAUGUUCAUUCCUCCAGGACUCGGAGGUGAAUGGACUCCAGUCCAGCCCCUUCUGGUCUUCAGGGAGAGAAAGAGGGACAAGUAGCCUCUGACCAGUUGAGCGUCAGCCCAUCUCACCCAAAGUGUUUCCUUCCUGGCCGUUAUGGCUUUGUUUGAAGUUUUCCACACUUCAUUCAGCAGGGUGUGGCGCCCAGGGAGAAUGGAAGCCUCCAGGGGGAUGGAGGACAUGGGAGGAUGGAGGCCAUGGGGGAACAGCAGCCAGCAGGGGAACAAAGCCAUGGAAGCCACAGGCAGGCAUGCUGGAGAGGCACCUCCGUCACCCUCAGGCCAUCCCUGAGAGUGUCACUCAUAGGAACCGGAGGAAGUCCCACUACAGGGCCCAAAGAGCCCAUGCUUCUUCCUAAUUUCUCAAAAUUUAUCUCAGUCUCUAAAAGAAGCAUGUGUAUCCACACCUACAAUGGAAGCAACCAUUCACAGAUGGAUCCUUGCAGGACACAAGGGGUUUUCUCCCCUCUCCUAGUUCAAUGGCCUAAACAAGGCAGGUCACGACCCUACGAACUGACAUUGCUCGCUCUAGUGGGUGGAGGUGGAGGUUAGGUUCCCCAGUGUCCACACUCUCUUACCAUCCGCCUUGGGGUAGGUGACUCUUGUCCUUAGUCUCCUUCAUCUGGAAAGGGCCCCUGAAGCUGUGGGAAGGGCGGUGUGAGGAUUGACAGGACAGGGGGGAGCAGGAUGGGAGAAGCAAGCACAGGGCCCUGGGAAGGGACUGAAGCCCUGGAUAGUCUGCAAACAGGUGCCUCACGGGGUGGGAGAGGAUACAGGUCCUCCCUGGCACAGGGAGGGGACACAGGCAGAGGGAGGCAGGUGGCAGUUCUCUGCCUGCUCAACGUCACCAUCACCUGAGAGGGCUCUCCCAACCCACUUUCUAGUUUGGAAAUUUUAAGCCCUCCAGGAAUGUUGAAAGAUUACAAUGGAUAACCAGUGUUUCCUUCACUAGGGUUCCUCAAUGGCUAACGAUUCCCCUCACUUGUUUGACAUCUCGUGAUUUUUUUUCUGAAACAUAUGCAAAUACGUUACAGAUGUCAGGACUGGUCCCUACUUCAUCAGCCUGUAGGCUCCUAAGAACAGGGUUGCCUGCAUAACCACAACAUCAAAGUUAACACCAUUCCUGGAGUUCCCAUCGUGGUGCAGCAGAAACGAUUCUGACUAGGGACCAUGGGGUUGCAGGUUCGGUCCCUGGCCUCACUCAGUGGGUUAAGGAUCUGGCAUUGCUAUGAGCUGUGGUGUAGGUCGAAGACAUGGCUCGGAUCCUGAGUUGCUGUGGCUGUGGCGUAGGCCGGCAGGUAUGGCUCCAAUUGGACCCCUAGCCUAGAAAUCUCCAUAUGCCGUGGGUGCAGCCCUAAAGAAAAAAGAAAAAAAAAAAAAAAAACAAAGCUAACGCAUGUGUCUGCACUUUCACAACUUCCUGGUUGUCUCAACAGCAGGCUUCAUAGUGGUUUGUAAUUCCGACCCAAGAAUACACGUGGCACCAGCGGCCCAGUCUCCAGGCUCUUAAGUGGGGCUGGGGGAUACAACCUGCCUUUGGUGCUGCUGCCUCUUGCAGGUUCCAAGCCAGUGAUCCCCUAGUGACACCACACUCUAGACUGCCUGGGGUUCCCGCACAACCACACUUGAGCUGCGUUUCUUCUUUUUUCGCCUUUUUAGGGCUGCACCCUUGGCAUAUGGAAGUUCCCAGGCUAGGAGUCGAACUUGAGCUGCAUCUGUGACCUACAUCACAGCUCACAGUGAUGCUGGAUCCUCAACCCACUGAGUGGAGCCAGGGAUCAAAUCCACAUCAUCAUGGAUACAGGUUGGGUUCCAUACUGCUGAGCCAUGACGGGAACUCAGUCAUGGCUCAGUGGGUGGUGCUGGUGCAGAUCACAGACUCUGGUCAGGGUGUGUCCCCACUGACAAGCAGACCAGAGUCUCUUGGCAGGGGCAAGUCCACUACCAGGUGGUAAGCAAGGGCUCUGUGAGGGCUCCCACAACCUCUGACAUGUGGCCUGUGUCCAGGGCUGACUGCCCUGGGGCGUGCACUUACCAAUAUGUCCUGGCAAUUAUACUGUCUUGGCAAUAUGUCCAGACAAGAGGGUAGAGGCUUUGGGAAGGUUCUGAAGGUCUGGACCCCAAGCCCAACCUAACUUAUUAGAUCAGGUCCAUUUCUAAAGACAAGCCAGGGCCUGGGAUCUGCCAUGGCAAAGCCUAUUUUAGGAAACCAGAUGCCCCUCUCAGUCCUCAGCUAGAAUUUCCAGGACCCAUCAGGGGCUAUAACUUCCUUCUUAGAGGAACACACAACCCCGUCCAGAAAAGUAGACUACACGCAGUCAGCAUCCCUGGGCCUCCGCCACAGUCUGUGCCCAGGUUCCAGCUUUGCAGAGGAAUUAGCUGCUCAGUGAAUUCUGAGCUAUAUUUGCUGAAGGAAAACCCUAAGCCUAACUGGUGGAAACCAAACGGAGCAGAGCCCCUGCACAUGGGACAGGCGUCACAUCCUUCACAAGUCCUGUUACUCAGCCCUAAGCCAACUGCCUUGCAUGGCACAUCUCCAAAGUCCCCACUGCACUAGCGCUCCCGACCUAGAAACCUCCAGGCAGCCCCAGCCCAGAGGAAGCAUGGAAGUCCUGGAUUUCCAUUCAGCACAGAGACUUGAGCAGAGAAUACAGCUGAGCAGACGCCCCCCACCCUCAAGCAAACAAGAACAGGAGGGGACCACAGGGAUGGCCGCACUCAAGGGCCCAAGACACCUAUGCAGACGUAGCUGAAACAGUGCACUGCUAAGGCCUGCCUUCUCAAAAUCUUCUUCCUAGGGCAUCUAAAAGUACAAAACCCCGUCCACAGGUUCAGUUGAGGUAGGCGUUUGUUGGAGAGAAGUAAGGUCACAGCAGCUCGUGGCACUAACAAACAAGGCCAUGUCAGGGCUAACUGUGGCCCCAGGGGAGACUUGUCCCCUUCCCCACCCCAUGAAGGCACAGCUGAGAGGGACACCUACCCGUGGCCCUGAGAGUGUGCCCUGCCCCUGGCCUCACAGACACAAAAAUCCAGAUGACACCAAACAACGAACAGCAGCACCAGGAGUGAAAAAUACCGAGAACCUGAUUCAGUGACUGCUUUCCAGUUUAGACCUGGCCUGCACAUCAAGAAUGGGGGCGAGAGCAGGAAGACUUUUUUUGUAGGAAAACAGAAAAAAAAAAAAAAAAAAA